rnacentral:rRNA from 1 species
GAACCCCAUACACGAUGCGGAUGCCUAUUACUUUGUGAUACACUUUCGAAGAGUCGAGUUGUUUGGGAAUGCAGCUCAAAUUGGGUGGUAAAUUCCAUCUAAAGCUAAAUAUUGGCGAGAGACCGAUAGCGAACAAGUACCGUGAGGGAAAGAUGAAAAGCACUUUGGAAAGAGAGUUAACAGUACGUGAAAUUGUUGGAAGGGAAACACAUGCAGCCAGACUUGCUAUUCGGGGCAACUCGAUUGGCAGGCCCGCAUCAGUUUUUCGGGGCGGAAAAGCAUAGAGAGAAGGUAGCAAUUUCGGUUGUGUUAUAGCUUUUUAUUGGAUUCGCCCUGGGGGACUGAGGAACGCAGCGUGCUUUUAGCAUAAGCUUCGGCUUAUCCACGCUUAGGAUGCGGGUGUAAUGGCUGUAUAUGACCCGUCUUGAGCACG